rnacentral:lncRNA from 1 species
ACCAAUUCUCUCUCGAUAUACCCCUAACCCUAAUCGCCGUCACCAGCGACGAGCUCCUAUGUAUGGAGAUUCAGAGUAUUCUCCGACCAUUACCAAUCGUGUAUGCUUCCUGGUUGUUUGAUUUCAUGGAUCCUUAGAAGAAUCUCAUGGAUAUUCGACCUACUUCUUGCUUGAAACUUGUUUAAUGGCCUGUCUAGGGCCGUUCACGUUUGUGAGUACAAAUUUUCUCCUAUUUUAGUUUGAAUCUAUGGGUUUUUGACCGAGUUUCUUUAUCUCUGCUGUUUUGAAAAUCCUAGUUUUGCAACUACUCGAAUCCGUUCUGGUCUUUGUAGAUCUGAAACGGUUCGAGUAUUUUCUGGUGUUUUCCCUUGAAAAUCCUUUGUUUUAGUUAACUGCUUCGAUUUUAUUCACUCUUUCUGAAAUUAGGGUUCUUCCCAGACUUCUCUUCAAGAGGUUUUCCUACUUUCAAAUGUUUAAUCUAGUCAUCUCUUUACGUAUUUGGUUAAUUUUCGUAUGUAUGCUUGAACCCUAGAUGUUUUUGAUGGUAACAUUGAUUUCUUUAAUUUUUUCAUUUAUUAUGUUUAUUUUUGUGAACCACUCGUAUUAACUGAUUCUAUUUAGGUAUGUGAGUGAUUUUUUUUGUUAAAUCCAAUAUUCUUUAGGAUUUUUUUGCUUAAUUGAUUUCUAUUUAGUGAAUUUGGACAAUUCUUUCCUAUUAAAAUCAGUAUUUUCCGAAAGUUUUACUUGUUUCCCUAUUUUGAUUAAUUAUACUUGCCUUAAUUAGUUAUCAGUAGUUUGGGGAUUUGAUGACUCCUUAUAUGGUAUGGUGUUGAUUUAUUACCUUAUUUGAGUCCCAGCUCUGACCGUUAACUGACUCUCCCCAAUUAAAGGGGCAUUUUUCGAAUUUCUCAAUUGGAAUUGAUUCCAUAAUUGGUUGAUUGCUUCUAAUUAAUUGAAUUACGAGUCUCUUUACCUUAUUUGUUUUACUCCCUAAAGUGCUAUAUAAGCACUCUCAUUCGCUCAUUCAACACACGAACAAUAGUUCAGAAUACACAUACAUAUAUUCAAACUCUCUCUUCUUUCUUUGCUACUUGUGCUAACUGUGGGUCUAGCCGGCUGAAAGCCAAGGGUAGAUAGUGGAAUUGCACCUGUUUUUUACAUUCUGCAUUUUCUUCUUUAACUGGUAUAUCUCUAGUUAGAUUUUGAAACUCAUCUUUAUGUGAUCCAUAUCUAUACAUCUAUGCUUGUUCCUGUACUAGUUAUUCAAUUUGUUUCUCUGUUUGACGUUAUUAAGCAUGCCUAAAUUCCGCCUUAUGUGUAAUCAGUAUGCCUGACUUCAUUAAGUUCUUUUAUAUUUGUCCAGCAUGUUUACUUAGUUCCCUUACCCCUACCUUUAAUUGGUAUGACUAUGUUAGCUACUUAGUUUUCUAUUGCAUUCAAUUGGUCCUGAUUGUGUCCAGUUCUGUUCAACACAUCUGUGUUUUCAACAUGAUUUUGCUACAUUCUUUCUCAAUGUCUUAAUUGUCUAUUACCAUGACUAACUUGUUCAGUAGACUCCUAGUUGUUAUAUACAUUUGAUGUAUCAAAUGUUUCCAUGUUUAUGAGGUUUCAACCCUAUAUGUUCCCCAUCCCUUUCACCCAUGUUUGUAAGUCUGCUUGUUAAGUGAAUAUGUGUAUUCUAUGAUCAAUUGGGUUGUUCGUUGAGUAUGCUUUCCUCAAAAUAAUUUCAAAACUAUUGCUCCUACUCCUAGUAUUCUUCUCAGAACUGGUCACUCCUAGCAUCUUUAAGAACUGUUUUCCAUUUCUGAAUCUUUUCUCUACACUGUUUUACUAAGUCUUUCAACACCAUGUCAAACACUAUUACCCUACUCUUAGACUAUUAAGUUUUUCUCCUCUGGUGUAUACUGCUUAGGGAUCCUGAAGAUCUCUCUGAACUCUGGCAUACCAGGGCUGGCCCUUCCACACUGCAUAUAACCAAUCCCUAUUUGAGAAAGGUCUUGGUGUAAGCACUGCCCAGGAUCCUUGAGGUCCUUAGGUAACUCUGACACACCAAGACGCACAUUAUUGGCUGCGAGAUCUUUGGCUUCUGAGACUCUAUUGAAGGCUUAGCAUUCCCAGGUUUACUUUGGGCUUGAUUUAGGCUCUCUAUAGUAUAGUUUCAUUUACUUAUGUAAUUCAUUUGAUCCUGGUCUGUAAUAAUAUUAUUUGUAAAUAGAUAUUGGGGUAAUUAGUAAAAAGGGGGGUUCACAUAUGCUUUUUGUGGAAACCGGGUAGAAAACAUGC